AGGCAUUUGUUGCUUAUUUGCCGGGCCUCUUGCAUGCAGUUCUCCCAACAUCCCUGUGAGGUGGUGAUGCUUAUCCCCAUUCUCCAGCGGAGGAAGCUGAGGCCCAGAGAGGUGAAGUCAUUUGCCACAAAAUCCCCCAGCCAAAUGGUAGUAGAACCAGGUUUUCAGCCAGACUCACUAGCUCACGGCAGAGCUGCCCUGGAGUCUGCAGCCAUUCAUUCUAUAGCCGGGCCGCUCCAUCCUUCAAGGCAGUUCAACGUCAAGAUUCCUGAUCUGCCUCAACCUGAGGCCUCUAGAAGAUACCAUCACCCCGGACAAGCUGAAGACGUGUGUCUGUCCGGAACACUCAGACACACACAAAGUGCUAUGGAUACGCCACACCCCGACCUAGCUGUCUCUUCCCGAUGGACCUCACUGGGUACAAAUGCCUGGCACCGCCUGACUCGGCUCCCAAGGGAGUAUAGGUGGAGCCUCCAGAGCCCAUGGACAGGGCAUGCGGGGGCUGGGCCAGCCUCAGCAGUGUCUCUAAGGCACCCUGGGAUUCCCCACUGAGCUGGCCUACUUCAGACAGCCAGGGCCCACCCCUCUGGCCCCCUUAGUGUCCAGCUCGUGGCCCCUUGGCAUUUCCACAAGACGCCAAGAUGGAGAUUCCCAUGGGGACCCAGGGCUGCUUCUCAAAGAGCCUUCUGCUCUCAGCCUCAAUCCUGGUCCUCUGGAUGCUCCAAGGCUCCUAGGCAGCCCUCCACAUCCAGAAGAUUCCAGAGCAGCCUCAAAAGAACCAGGACCUUCUCCUGUCAGUCCAGGGUGUCCCAGACACCUUCUAGGACUUCAACUGGUACCUGGGGGAGGAGAUGUAUGGAGGCACGAGGCUAUUUACCUACAUCCCUGGGAUACAACGGCCUGAGAGAGAUGGCAAUGCCAAUGGUUCCAUGCUGCUGCACCACACCCAGCCUACAGACAUUGGCACCUACCAAGUAGCCAUUACCAUCAACUCUGAAUGGACUAUGAAGGCCAAGACUGAGGUCCAGGUAGCUGGUAAGUGUUAGGGUCUGGGGAUGAGGUGAGGAAGCUAAUGAGCCCUGAGCAGCUACCACGCACCAGGUGCUGUGCAAACACCAUUUCAUUUGGUCCUCUUAUUCAUUCACUCGACACAUAUUGAGCGUCUACUGUGUACCAGUCCCCAGAGAUAGUCUUUAACCCUCACAUGCAUUAACUAAUAAAAUAUCUAUG